UUUUGUCAGUUGGGCCUGAAGCUCCAGGACUUAUGCUGGUCCUGGCACCAAUGAGGACAGAAAUGAUUGAGUGCAUGAAUUUGGUUGAAAUUGAUUUUUACUUCUCUGCAGCUAAGUAUGUGGCAGUCUUGGCCACAUGGUGACUCAGCAGAGGGGCCUAUGUAUUGGCUGUCCUGAUGCUCUUCCUGAUUCAACUGAUUCUCUACACUUGAUCUUAACCAAAAGGCUGAGAAGUGAUGAUUCAACUGAUUCUCAAAAGGACACCACUGUAGGAAUAAACCCACUUCUAAAUACGGUACACUUGGAAAAUUGUCCAGCUCGCAAUGUCAGAGUCACAGACUUCAUGCACACUCAUCUCAAGUCAAUGUUAUCUAACACGUUUCCGCUAAUUAUUGGAUAGCACUAGCAAGAAACUCUGAUAUUUUUCACCUAACCUUUGCUAAUUUAAAUGUGGCCAGCCCACCCUCAUACUGCAUUGUGAUGGGGAUAUAAAAGCCAAUGAAAGAUAUCA
rnacentral:lncRNA from 1 species